UAGAGUUUGAUCAUGGCUCAGAACGAACGCUGGCGGCAUGCCUAACACAUGCAAGUCGAACGAACCCUUCGGGGUUAGUGGCGCACGGGUGCGUAACGCGUGGGAAUCUGCCCUUUGCUUCGGAAUAACUCAGGGAAACCUGUGCUAAUACCGGAUGAUGUCUUCGGACCAAAGAUUUAUCGGCAAGGGAUGAGCCCGCGUAGGAUUAGGUAGUUGGUGGGGUAAAGGCCUACCAAGCCGACGAUCCUUAGCUGGUCUGAGAGGAUGAUCAGCCACACUGGGACUGAGACACGGCCCAGACUCCUACGGGAGGCAGCAGUGGGGAAUAUUGGACAAUGGGCGCAAGCCCGAUCCAGCAAUGCCGCGUGAGUGAUGAAGGCCCUCGGGUCGUAAAGCUCUUUUACCAGGGAUGAUAAUGACAGUACCUGGAGAAUAAGCUCCGGCUAACUACGUGCCAGCCGCCGCGGUAAUAC
rnacentral:rRNA from 1 species